rnacentral:rRNA from 1 species
GACGAACCGUGCAAACGUUGUUCGGAAUCACUGGGCUUAAAGGGCGCGUAGGCGGGCCAGCCAGUCUGUGGUGAAAGCCUCCAGCUUAACUGGAGAAGUGCCGUGGAUACUGCUGGCCUCGAGGAGGAUAGGGGCAUCUGGAACGGUCGGUGGAGCGGUGAAAUGCGUUGAUAUCGACCGGAACUCCGGUGGCGAAGGCGAGGUGCUGGGUCCUUUCUGACGCUGAUGCGCGAAAGCCAGGGGAGCGAACGGG